GUUGGGGUGGCAGAGCCAGGUAAUGCACUAAGACUUAAAAUCUUACAACAGAUGUUCAACUCAUCUCUUCAACA
rnacentral:tRNA from 1 species